rnacentral:rRNA from 1 species
UACGAAGGGGGCUAGCGUUGCUCGGAAUCACUGGGCGUAAAGCGCACGUAGGCGGAUUGCUAAGUCAGGGGUGAAAUCCUGGAGCUCAACUCCAGAACUGCCUUUGAUACUGGUGAUCUUGAGUCCGGGAGAGGUGAGUGGAACUGCGAAUGUAGAGGUGAAAUUCGUAGAUAUUCGCAAGAACACCAGUGGCGAAGGCGGCUCACUGGCCCGGUACUGACGCUGAGGUGCGAAAGCCAGGGGAGCAAACGGG